rnacentral:rRNA from 1 species
UACGAACCGUGCAAACGUUGUUCGGAAUCACUGGGCUUAAAGGGCGCGUAGGCGGUCGACCAAGUCCGGGGUGAAAUCUUUCGGCUUAACCGGAAAAGUGCCUUGGAUACUGGCCGGCUGGAGGGAGGUAGGGGCAGGUGGAACUUCCAGUGGAGCGGUGAAAUGCGUUGAUAUUGGAAGGAACGCCGGUGGCGAAAGCGACCUGCUGGACCUCUUCUGACGCUGAGGCGCGAAAGCUAGGGGAGCAAACGGG